rnacentral:rRNA from 1 species
UACGUAGGGUGCAAGCGUUAAUCGGAAUUACUGGGCGUAAAGCGUGCGCAGGCGGUUAUGUAAGACAGAUGUGAAAUGCCCGGGCUUAACCUGGGAACUGCAUUUGUGACUGCAUGGCUAGAGUUUGGCAGAGGGGGGUAGAAUUCCACGUGUAGCAGUGAAAUGCGUAGAUAUUGGGAGGAACACCAGUGGCGAAGGCGGCUCACUGGACCGGAACUGACGCUGAGGCGCGAAAGCGUGGGGAGCAAACGGG